CGAACAUCGUCUACCCUGUAGAUCGAGCUGUGUGUGUGCUAUUUCGAAAUGAUAGAACACACGCUAGACUUCAGGGUGAACGAGAUGGAUU
rfam:Caenorhabditis japonica strain DF5081 Contig13851.1, whole genome shotgun sequence.